rnacentral:rRNA from 1 species
GGUUGAUCCUGCCGGACCCCACUGCUAUCGGGAUGGGACUAAGACAUGCUAGUCGAGCGCUUUCUAGCCAUGCUGGAGGCGCGGCACACAGCUCAGUAACACGUGGCUAACCUGCCCUCGAGACGAGAACAACCCCGGGAAACUGGGGACAAUUCUCGAUAGGUGAAGAAUCCUGGAAUGGGUCUUCGCCCAAAAGACGUCUAGGUCAUGCUUCUAGACGUCGCUCAAGGAUGGGGCCGCGGCCGAUCAGGUUGUUGGUGAGGUAAUGGCUCACCAAGCCUUUAACCGGUUCGGGCCGUGAGAGCGGUAGCCCGGAGAUGGGCACUGAGACAAGGGCCCAGGCCCUACGGGGCGCAGCAGUCGCGAAAACUUCGCAAUAAGCGAAAGCUUGACGGGGCCAUCCCGAGUGCCAUCUGCUGAGGAUGGCUUUUACCCAGUAUAGAUAGCUGGGGGAAUAAGGAGAGGGCAAGUCUGGUGUCAGCCGCCGCGGUAAUACCAGCUCUCCGAGUUGUGGGGACGUUUAUUGAGCCUGAAGCAUCCGUAGCCGGCUGGACAAGUCCUCUGUUAAAUCCAGCGACCAAUCGUUGGCCUGCGGGGGAUACUGUCCGGCUAGGGGGCGGGAGAGGCCGUCGGUACUCUUGGGGUAGGGGUGAAAUCCUAUAAUCCCAGGAAGACCACCAGUGGCGAAGGCUGUCGGCUAGAACGCGCCCGACGGUGAGGGAUGAAAGCUGGGGGAGCGAACCGGAUUAGAUACCCGGGUAGUCCCAGCUGUAAACGAUGCAGGCUAGGUGUUAGGGCGGCUACGGGCCGCUCUAGUGCCGCAGGGAAGCUGUUAAGCCUGCCGCUUGGGGAGUACGGCCGCAAGGCUGAAACUUAAAGGAAUUGGCGGGGGAGCACUACAACGGGUGGAGCUUGCGGUUUAAUUGGAGUCAACGCCGGA